GAUGAACGCUGGCGGCGUGCCUAACACAUGCAAGUCGAACGAAGCACUUCUGGUGGAGAUUCGUCGAAACCGGAAUUGACUUAGUGGCGGACGGGUGAGUAAUGUAUGAGCAACCUGCCUUUCAGAGGGGGACAACAGUUGGAAACGACUGCUAAUACCGCAUAAUGUAGCGGGGAGGCAUCUUCCUGCUACCAAAGGAGCAAUCCGCUGAAAGAUGGGCUCAUAUCUGAUUAGCUAGUUGGUGGGGUAACGGCCUACCAAGGCUGCGAUCAGUAGCCGGACUGAGAGGUUGAACGGCCACAUUGGGACUGAGAUACGGCCCAGACUCC
rnacentral:rRNA from 1 species